AGUUAAGUGAGAAAGCGUACAGGGCGGAUGCCUUGGCAAUCAGAGGCGAAGAAGGACGUGCUAAUCUGCGAAAAGCGUGGGUGAGUUGAUAAGAAGCGUUUAACCCACGAUGUCCGAAUGGGGAAACCCGAUAGGCGAAGAGCCUAUCAUUGCGAGGUGAAUAAAAUAGCCUCGUAAGGCGAACCGGGAGAACUGAAACAUCUAAGUACCCCGAGGAAAAGAAAUCAACCGAGAUUCUGUGAGUAGCGGCGAGCGAAAGCGGAGGAGCCAGUAAGUAAUAGCAGCAGAGAUAGAGGAAUUGUCUGGGAAGGCAAGCGACACAGGGUGAUAGCCCCGUACUUAAAAUCCAGGCUGUGGUACUAAGCUUACGAGAAGUAGGGCGGGACACGAGGAAUCCUGUCUGAAGAUGGGGGGACCAUCCUCCAAGGCUAAAUACUCCUGAUUGACCGAUAGUGAACCAGUACUGUGAAGGAAAGGCGAAAAGAACCCCGGUGAGGGGAGUGAAUAGAACCUGAAACCCUGUACGUACAAGCAGUGGGAGCCCGCAAGGGUGACUGCGUACCUUUGUAUAAUGGGUCAGCGACUUAUAUUUUGUAGCGAGGUUAACUGAAUAAGGGAGCCGAAGGGAAACCGAGUCUUAACUGGGCGAAGAGUUGCAAGGUAUAGACCCGAAACCCGGUGAUCUAGCCAUGGGCAGGUUGAAGGUUGGGUAACACUAACUGGAGGACCGAACCGACUAAUGUUGAAAAAUUAGCGGAUGACCUGUGGCUGGGGGUGAAAGGCCAAUCAAACCGGGAGAUAGCUGGUUCUCCCCGAAAUCUAUUUAGGUAGAGCCUUGUGUGAAUACCUUUGGGGGUAGAGCACUGUUUCGGCUAGGGGCCCAUCCCGGGUUACCAAACCGAUGCAAACUCCGAAUACCAAAGAGUAAUGCACAGGAGACACACGGCGGGUGCUAACGUCCGUCGUGGAGAGGGAAACAACCCAGACCGCCAGCUAAGGUCCCAAAAUCUAUAUUAAGUGGGAAACGAAGUGGGAAGGCUUAGACAGCUAGGAUGUUGGCUUAGAAGCAGCCACCAUUUAAAGAAAGCGUAAUAGCUCACUAGUCGAGUCGGCCUGCGCGGAAGAUGUAACGGGGCUAAAAUAUAGUACCGAAGCUGCGGCAUCAAUCGAAAGAUUGUUGGGUAGGGGAGCGUUGUGUAAGCGGAAGAAGGUGGUUCGAGAGGAUUGCUGGACGUAUCACAAGUGCGAAUGCUGACAUAAGUAACGAUAAAACGGGUGAAAAACCCGUUCGCCGGAAGACCAAGGGUUCCUGUCCAACGUUAAUCGGGGCAGGGUGAGUCGGCCCCUAAGGCGAGGCUGAAAAGCGUAGUCGAUGGGAAACGGGUUAAUAUUCCCGUACUUGGUAAAGCUGCGAUGUGGGGACGGAGAAGGUUAGGUUAUCGACCUGUUGGAGAUGGUCGUUUAAGUUGGUAGGUGGGUGAGUUAGGCAAAUCCGGCUCACCGUUAACACUGAGAGAUGAUGACGAGGCACUAAGGUGCUGAAGUAACUGAUACCACACUUCCAGGAAAAGCCACUAAGCUUCAGGCUUUACUAAACCGUACUGAAAACCGACACAGGUGGUCAGGUAGAGAAUACUCAGGCGCUUGAGAGAACUCGGGUGAAGGAACUAGGCAAAAUAGCACCGUAACUUCGGGAGAAGGUGCGCCGGCGUAGAUUGUAGUGACUUGCUCACGAAGGUUGAACCGGUCGAAGAUACCAGCUGGCUGCAACUGUUUAUUAAAAACACAGCACUCUGCAAACACGAAAGUGGACGUAUAGGGUGUGAUGCCUGCCCGGUGCUGGAAGGUUAAUUGAUGGUGUAAUCGAAAGAGAAGCUCCUGAUCGAAGCCCCAGUAAACGGCGGCCGUAACUAUAACGGUCCUAAGGUAGCGAAAUUCCUUGUCGGGUAAGUUCCGACCUGCACGAAUGGCAUAAUGAUGGCCAGGCUGUCUCCACCCGAGACUCAGUGAAAUUGAAAUCGCCGUGAAGAUGCGGUGUACCCGCGGCUAGACGGAAAGACCCCGUGAACCUUUACUAUAGCUUGACACUGAACCUUGAAUUUUGAUGUGUAGGAUAGGUGGGAGACUGUGAAGCGGUAACGCCAGUUAUCGUGGAGUCGUUGUUGAAAUACCACCCUUUAACGUUUGAUGUUCUAACGAAGCGCCUGAAACGGGUGUUCGGACAGUGUCUGGUGGGUAGUUUGACUGGGGCGGUCUCCUCCCAAAGUGUAACGGAGGAGCACGAAGGUUUGCUAAUGACGGUCGGACAUCGUCAGGUUAGUGCAAUGGUAUAAGCAAGCUUAACUGCGAGACAGACAAGUCGAGCAGGUGCGAAAGCAGGUCAUAGUGAUCCGGUGGUUCUGAAUGGAAGGGCCAUCGCUCAACGGAUAAAAGGUACUCCGGGGAUAACAGGCUGAUACCGCCCAAGAGUUCAUAUCGACGGCGGUGUUUGGCACCUCGAUGUCGGCUCAUCACAUCCUGGGGCUGAAGUAGGUCCCAAGGGUAUGGCUGUUCGCCAUUUAAAGUGGUACGCGAGCUGGGUUUAGAACGUCGUGAGACAGUUCGGUCCCUAUCUGCCGUGGGCGUUGGAGAAUUGAGAGGGGCUGCUCCUAGUACGAGAGGACCGGAGUGGACGCAUCACUGGUGUACCAGUUGUCUCGCCAGAGGCACAGCUGGGUAGCUAAAUGCGGAAGAGAUAAGUGCUGAAAGCAUCUAAGCACGAAACUUGCCUCAAGAUGAGUUCUCCCUGACUUAAAGUCAGUAAGGGUUGUUGGAGACGACGACGUAGAUAGGCUGGGUGUGUAAGCGGUGUGAGCCGUUGAGCUAACCAGUACUAAUUGCCCGAGAGGCUUAACUAU
rnacentral:rRNA from 1 species